rnacentral:ribozyme from 2 species
CAGGGGUUGCAUGAGGCCAUAGCAAAAGCACUCACAGUGCUGCCCUGUCAGAUUCCAACAAAUCUGCAAAUUCUGCU